AAGUCGUAACAAGGUUUCCGUAGGUGAACCUGCGGAAGGAUCAUUACCAAAUCCAAAUUCUUAACCCCAUGUGAACUAUUGUUUUAGUCUGUCUUUGGGAGAAGGGAAAUUUAUUUUUUCUUCUCCCAAUAGAGUCCGGCAUAACUUUAUUGUUGUGUCCAGAUUCGAAAAAACAAAACCAUAAACCACUUGAUUUUCUGUUGGAAUUACUUUUAUUAAUUUAUAAAUAAAAGACAACUUUUAACGGCGGAUCUCUUGGCUCGUG
rnacentral:misc_RNA from 1 species